rnacentral:lncRNA from 1 species
GGCUUAUUUUUGUCUCUGGUCAUCUCAUGCUGCAUGGGUGAUGAAGUUUGGCAUUGGCAUCCUUCAGUGUCCCAGAGGCAGCACUGGCCCAGGACCAUGAUAAUUUCUAGGCACGAGGUUUCUUUCAGAAACAAGUAAAUUCAGACUAUACACCAAGGAAAGCAACAGGCUUGGAACAUUUUUUUUCUCACAAAAGACUUAUUUUUCCCCCAAACAUAUUUAAUUGUCGUCUUUUUGAUCUCGUUGGCUGAGAUUUUUAGUACUCUUUGGGAGGCAUUAAAGCUUUUGAGGGGCCUAGCUUUAUAUAGACGUCUCAGUUCCUGGUCUCUGCUCAGGUGAGGAUAAGAGGCCUUCUGUACCUGGUGGGCAUUAAAAUCCUAGUCGUUACCAAAUCAGUACCGCUGCUUCCAUUCACCUCCCAAAGUUGUCGCAGCCUCACUUCUUAUAUUUAUCAGUCUGGCUUUUAAUUCCCUCUGUGUUUCUGGCCCUCUGGCCCUUGGGGACUCCUUUUUUUUCUGGACAGAUCAGCUAAAAAUUAACUCUUUUUUUUUUUUUUUUGGCUAUUUUAAACCCAAUGUUCCUAAGGGCUUAUAGUUUUCAUAGUAGCUUAGUCUACCAUGUUGCUGAAACCAGAAGAAAAAGUGAUAUGUGUCCAACAACAUAAUAUCUACCCCACAAGAUACUUACCAUAAUAGGGAAUUGAAAAAAUCCUAUGGAAAUUCAGAAAAGGUAGUAAUUAUUUGUGAUUGAGGACUUGAGAAAGACUUAAUGGAAUAACAGUUGAGUCGGUCUUUGAAAAAUGGGUAUAUUUUAACGUGAAGAGGGAGAAGAGUUGAGUACCUGGUGGAGGAAAUCCCAAAUAAGGAAUGAGCGAUCAUGAAGAUGCUUGUCAGUUUGUGAAGUAGAUUAUAGUCCUAUGUGGUUGGACUUACAUGUAGCCUUAUUGAAGGCCAUCUUUGGGGAAUGUGUAAGACCUUGCUUACAUACAAGGUCUCUCAUGGUGCUUUGUGUGUCAUACAUGCUAGAUAUUUACCAGGCGAACAAAUACACGUGAAAGAAUGUCACCAAGAAAAGGAGUGGAGACUGAGUAUGCAGAAUAAUACUCAACCUCACUGUGUCUCAGUAUUUUCACCUAAAAACAAGAGAGUAAAAAGGAGAGCCUGUGACCUUACCAGGCCUUCUGAGAUUCCUUUGGCUCUUGAGAAGAAUUACAGAUGCUGCAGCAGUUUACCUCUUCCCUGCACCUGUGUCUCCAGGAGGACUGGGACACUAUGGUCUGGUGAGUUUGCAGGGAAAAAUGUCAGGCUCAGCAAAUCUCUACCUACCUUGCAUGCUCAAGCUCUUGAAUACCAAUUUAUAGGCCUAUGGUCAACCAUUUUGAUGCCUGUCCUACUUUUCUUGCAUAAGGAACUCAUAAAGCACCCACCACAGAAUCAUGGAUGA